rnacentral:rRNA from 1 species
UACGAACCGUCCAAACGUUAUUCGGAUUCAUUGGGCUUAAAGGGUAUGUAGGCGGCCCUGUUAGUCGGGUGUGAAAUCCCUCGGCUCAACCGAGGAACUGCGCCCGAUACUGCAGGGCUUGAGGGAGACAGAGGUAAGCGGAACUGAUGGUGGAGCGGUGAAAUGCGUUGAUAUCAUCAGGAACACCAGUGGCGAAAGCGGCUUACUGGGUCUCUUCUGACGCUGAGGUACGAAAGCUAGGGGAGCGAACGGG